UAAGACCCAUUACCUUCCAAUCCGACAGAGGGGGAUGCUAUGGUAAGGUGGUGUAGCGUUGCUCCCCGCUCCCUUAUGCCGUUUGUGGAAAGGAGAGAGACGGGGGGAACCAUAUAUCCGGGUUUUUGAAAGAGGCAAAAUCAGCGGAGAUGGAUCCGAAGAAUAUUUAACGUCAGAUUUGAGCAAUAUGGAUGUCGCGUGAUGAAUGUGCUAUCGCUCCCGGUGCUGUGAAGACCCAACCAGUGGACCGAGUCGGAAGGUGGGCCUUCCUCUCCUGCGGCCCCUCCCCUUCCUCACCCUCAGCCAAUCCUAGAUUCAAACCACAGCCCAGUUUCCCAUAGAUACUUUCUUACUGCUUUGGUCCUUCAAGAUCACAUAGUUCCAUCAUGGUAAACAAAACUCAGAUUGUUGCAUAGUAAGAAAAAGCUGUGAGAGAGAAAAAUCCACUAGGCCUAUUUGUUGGUGUUGUUUUGGAGAAAAUAAGUAAGGCAAUAGAUAAAAUUAGAGAGAGUGAAGAGGAAGCGUUGAACACGACUGGUUGAAAGCUAUUUUUGCAGAAGAAAAAAAGCAACGAUUUCUCUUUUUAACACUGUCAUUUCAGUGAUGAGAUUAACAGGCUCAAACAGAAGCUCGCAUGCAAGUGAGGUAACAGAUUGACAUUCUGUCCACGAAUCACACAUACACGCACUUUGACCUACGGAACCCCUGCACACAGGGCUUUUGCGUAAACAAGCACUCCUAACAUAGACGUUUUCUCCUGGAGCCCACCACACUCUCUCCAGUCUCAUGAUGAUGUGUGAGGUGAUGCCCACCAUUUCGGAGGACGGGCGAGGAGGAGGCCCCUCCUCUCCUGGGGUUGGGGCUGGGAUUGGAGGCCCUGGUGGGGCCAUGGGGGGAGGGGGCUACGGUGGCCGAGGGGAAUCCAGGGGCGGGGGUGACGAGGGAGGCAGCACAGGGAACCUGGAAUCCCUGAUGGUCAACAUGCUGACCGAGAGGGAGAGGCUGUUGGAGAGCCUGAGGGAGACCCAAGACAGCCUUGGGACGGCCCAGCUACGCCUCAGAGAGCUGGGCCACGAGAAGGACUCCCUCUCGAGACAGCUGUCCAUCGCCCUGCCACAGGAGUUUGCUGUGCUGACUAAGGAGCUGAAUGUUUGCCGGGAGCAGCUACUGGAGAGGGAAGAGGAGAUUGCUGAGCUCAAGGCGGAGAGAAACAACACACGUUUGCUACUAGAGCACCUGGAGUGUCUUGUGUCUCGUCACGAGCGCAGUCUGAGGAUGACGGUGGUGAAGAGGCAGGCCCAGUCCCCGGCGGGGGUCUCCAGUGAAGUGGAGGUCCUCAAGGCCCUCAAGUCCCUGUUUGAGCACCACAAGGCUUUGGAUGAGAAGGUUCGAGAGCGACUCCGUGUGGCCCUUGAGAGAGUGACUCUUUUGGAGGAUCAACUACAAGCGUCCGCUCAAGAGGUGAUCUCUUUAAGAGACCAAAUUAAAAGACGACAACAAGGGUUGGACGGCGGGAAAGACCGCCUACCCAAUGGACCCUCCUCUGGAUUGGACGACGGUGAGAUCGACAGACAGAGAGAAACGGAGAUAGAGCGGCAGAGAGCCGAGCUCUCCCAGCUGAAAGAAAGAUUGGCCCUUAUGUGUCGACAGGUUGGGGAAAUAGAGGAACAGCUUGCAGCCGCCAGGAGGGAAGUGACGAAGUCGGAGGAGGCCAAUCAGAAGCUCCAGAGGGAUGUGAAGGAGGCUCUGUGCCAAAGGGAGGAUAUGGAGGAGAGGAUCACUACAUUAGAGCGCAGGUACCUCAGUGCUCAGAGGGAAGCAACCUCUCUACAUGACGUCAAAGACAAGCUGGAGAAUGAGCUGGCCAGCAAGGAGUCACUGCACAGACAGAGUGAGGAGAAGAACAGGCAGCUCCAGGAGCGUCUGGAUGACGCCAAGCAGAAGCUCCAGCAGACCCUGCAGAGGGCCGAGACACUGCCCGAGAUCGAGGCCCAGCUCGCCCAGAGAGUGGCUGCCCUCAACAAGGCAGAGGAGCGCCAUGGGAAUUUUGAGGAGCGACUACGACAGAUGGAGGCACAACUUGAAGAGAAAAAUCAGGCAUUGCAGAGGGCAAGGCAGAGAGAGAAAAUGAACGACGAACACAACAAACGCCUCUCGGACACGGUGGACAAGCUACUGUCCGAGUCCAACGAGAGACUGCAGCUUCACCUCAAAGAGAGAAUGGCUGCCCUCGAGGAGAAGAAUUCCCUGUCAGAGGAGCUUGCAAACAUGAAGAAAAUCCAAGAUGAUCUGCUAGCGAACAAGGACCAGCUCAUAGCUGAGCUGGAGAGGAUUCAGCUGGAGCUGGAUCAACUGAGGGGCAGGCCUGGCUCUUCCUAUUCCAGGUUAGCCACAAUGGAGCUUCAGGGGACGAGCAACGUGAGCUCACUUCCCUCCACCCUUUUUCGAAGAUCUCUUCCAGGGAGUGCCUCAGAGCUCCGUUACCCCCAGGGUGGUGGCUCCCUCCCAGCCGGCUACGGCAGCUCCUCCAGUGGCGUGGUGGUCCGGAGGGCACACCGCGGCCGAUGGGCUCCCCCCAGGGAUGACAGCAACAAGUAUGGAGAGUGGGACAGUGGCAACAUGCUGGGUCCCGGGUUCGAGGGGGGAGUCGAGGGGGGCUGCUCAGAUGACGAGGACGACAGGGAGACCCUGUUUGGCUCGGAGCUGCUCUCGCCCAGCGGACAGACGGACGUGCAGACCCUUGCCAUCAUGCUGCAGGAGCAACUGGAGGCCAUCAACAAGGAGAUCAAGCUGAUCCAGGAGGAGAAGGAGAGCACUGAGCUGAGGGCGGAGGAGAUCGAGAGCCGGGUGAGCAGCGUGGCCCUGGACUCCUCUCCUCUCCCCCCCUCCUCACUGGGUGGGGGCAGGGACAGCGUGGGGAGGGGCUACAUGACCCCCUCCCUCACCUCCUCCACCCUGGCCUCCCCUUCACCCCCCAGCUCUGGACAUUCCACCCCCCGACUGCCACAUUCCCCUGCCAGAGAAUCAGACAGACAGAACAGCAAAGAGGGCGACGACUGCCGGGCGCUAGCCUUGAUUGACUCCACCCCUCCUCCGGUUCCUCGUGCUCUGCGAUUGGAUAGAAUGACUCACACACACCCAGGGGCUGGGCUGGAUGAUCACCGCGAAUUCCGCAGUAGUCAGGACUCUCUCCACAAAGCCAGCAAGAAGAAGAGCAUCAAGUCCUCCAUUGGACGCCUGUUUGGGAAGAAGGAGAAGGGGAGGAUCGGAGGACCUGGGAGUCAGUCUGCCUCUCUGGCCUCCACACCUUCCGAUGACCUGGGCUCAGCUGACCCCCUGGGCCUGGCCAAGAUGGGAACUGGCACCGUGGAGAAAGAUCGCCGCAGCAAGAAGAAGCACGACCUGCUAGAAGAAGCUUGUCGCCAGGGUCUUCCCUUCGCUUCAUGGGAUGGCCCCACGGUGGUUACAUGGCUUGAGUUGUGGGUGGGCAUGCCCGCCUGGUAUGUGGCAGCAUGUCGUGCCAAUGUGAAGAGCGGUGCUAUCAUGGCCAACCUGUCGGACACAGAGAUCCAGCGGGAGAUUGGCAUCAGUAACCCCCUGCACCGCCUGAAACUGCGCCUGGCCAUCCAGGAGAUGGUGUCCCUCACCAGCCCCUCGGCACCGGCCAGCACACGCUCCUCGACGAGUGAUAUAUGGAUGACUCAUGCCGAAAUGGAGUCACUGACCGCUGCCAUAAAACCAGCAUGUGUCGCUGCACCUUUUCCCCACUACUCCCCCAAAUUCUCUUUGAGUGUAGUGUUUCUCCAACUAAUUUUCAUUCACUAACAAACUAUUCCUCCUUCUGCCCUUCCUUCCUUACAUCUUUUCUUCUCCAUAACACCUCCUGUCAUUUACCGUAAAAACACAUCCUGGCAAUCGUUCCUUUCCCUCUCCCUCCACCUCUAUCCCUUUCUCUCUCUAUCCCUUUCCUUUGCCUCCACUGAAGGAAGUGAAGGAGUUCAGCUGGGACCAGAUCCUUGCCUAUGGGGACAUGAACCAUGAGUGGGUAGGGAAUGAGUGGCUUCCCAGCCUGGGUCUGCCCCAGUACCGCUCCUACUUCAUGGAGUCCCUGGUGGACGCUCGCAUGCUGGACCACCUCACCAAGAAGGAGCUGAGGGGACAGCUCAAAAUGGUGGACAGCUUCCACAGGGUAAGUCUGCAUUAUGGCAUCAUGUGCUUGAAGCGUUUGAACUACGACAGGAAGGAGCUUGAAAGGAGGAGGGAUGAGAGCCAACAUCAGAACCAAGAUGUGAUGGUAUGGUCCAAUGAGCGAGUGAUGUGUUGGGUCCAGGCCAUUGGGCUAAAGGAGUUUGCAGAUAACCUCACAGAGAGUGGGGUACAUGGGGCCCUCCUAGCCCUGGACGACACGUUUGACUACACUGACCUUGCCCUGCUCCUCCAGAUACCCAAUCAGAACACACAGGCGAGGCAGAUGCUGGAGAAGGAGUACAAUGCCCUCAUCUCCAUGGGAACUGAGAGAAGACCAGAUGAGGACGGCACUAAGACGUUCACACGCUCGCCCUCGUGGAGGAAGAUGUUCAGAGAGAAGGACCUCCGGGGCGUGACCUCUGACUCCUCAGAAACAUUACCCGCCAACUUCCGUGCCUCCGCCAUCUCCACACCCUCCGUCACCCUGAGGAAAGUCCAGAGUGAAGUGAACUCUGGGCCCAGGGGUGAGUCGGGGUCAGUGAGAACAUAUUCCUGCUAGAGAUAAGCACAUCAGUCCACAGUUGUGGCAUGAAGCUGUUCGAUGCUGUAAAAAAUGAUUCCAUCGCCCAGUGUGAAGUUCUUCUUCCAUGUGUGAAAUGGGAAAAUUGACACAAUGACUCUUAUUUUUUUCAUUGGGAUGUAAAACUGCAUUUCCAUUUGGAUCAACAAAAUGAUGAACCUGAUAGAUGUUUCUUUGAUUUUGAAUUGUCGAUAGAACAUGCAUACCCCAUCUCAGUAACUGGUAUUAGGAUUUUGUUUCUCAACCUUUUUCUACCGUGGACAGGCGAGCUAAGGUAUUUCCUUUACUCAAGACCCACAAGCUAUGGUCCUUCUCUUUUGGGGAAGCACUUCCAUUAAAACUAGCAUUUGAGUACUCACUAGGGUCAGGUACAGCUAAACAUCUGAGGGAUCGGUUAGAAUCACCAUAGGGACUGCUGUCGGUCCAGGGACCAGAGGUUGAGAAACAAUGUACUGUAUGAGGACAGAGUCAUAAGGGUUAUAAAGUGUUAUGAAGGGAGAGUAUGCGAGGGAAUGAGGGAAUGGAUUCGUAUGUUCUUAAGCCAUAACAGACACCAUGAGAUGAGAAGGACCUUGGACAAUUGGUGAAGUGCAUUAUGACAAAAUCCUGUUUAAAAAAAAAAGAGAAAAGAAUUGAACGUUUGUGUUAAUAUGCAUGCCAAAACAAAAACAUAGAGUGAGAGUAAUGAAAUCAAUCAUCUAAUGACGUGAAAACUUGGGUAAGGAAUUUGUAAAAUGGGUGUAUUUUAUUUUUUAUCAUUUUUUUAAAUGAUAACCUCUAUUGUAUGUAGGUAGGUAAGUGUGUGUGUGUGUGUGUGUGUGUGUGUGUGUGUGUGUGUGUGUGUGUGUGUGUGUGUGUGUGUGUGUGUGUGUGUGUGUGUGUGUGUGUGUGUGUGUGUGUGUGUGUGUGUGUGUGUGUGUGUGUGUGUGUAGUAUGUAUGUAUUGGACGGUAUUUUAAUUUCAUACUUAGUUAAGAUUGAUUGUAAUUUCAUUUUAGGUUGAAAAGUAAAUACGUUUCAAAUUAUGGACAUUAAGAUAUACUACUUGUAUGUGUACAUUUUGAAAACAAAUUGUGUUAUGAUUUAAACUAAUAUCAAUAAUGAAGAGUAGUGAGGAUAAUUAAAUAUAAUAUGAUAACAAUAAUGAUAAUGAUUGUAAAAGCUGUAAUUAAAAAAGACCUGUAAAAUG